CCUACGGGAGGCAGCAGUAGGGAAUAUUGCUCAAUGGGGGAGACCCUGAAGCAGCAACGCCGCGUGGAGGAUGAAGGUUUUCGGAUUGUAAACUCCUUUUGGUAGAGAAGAUAAUGACGGUAUCUAACGAAUAAGCACCGGCUAACACAGUGCCAGCAGCCGCGGUAAUACGGCGGGUGCAAGCGUUACUCGGAAUGACUGGGCGUAAAGGGCGCGUAGGCGGGAUAGCAAGUCAGAUGUGAAAUCCUAGGGCUUAACCAUAGAACUGCAUUUGAAACUGGUAUUCUAGAGUAGGGGAGAGGUAGGUGGAAUGCUUGGUGUAGGGGUAAAAUGCGUAGAGAUCAAGAGGAAUACUCAUUGCGAAGGCGACCUGCUAGAACAUAACUGACGCUGAGGCGCGAAAGCGUGGGGAGCAAACAGGAUUAGAUACCCGGGUAGUC
rnacentral:rRNA from 1 species